ensembl:lncRNA
AAAAAAAAAAAAAAAAAAAGGAUCUAAGGUGAUGCCAUCCAGAGAAAUCCUCUGACUUUGUUUGUGUUUGUGUGCAUGUUUGCCCGUGCGUGUGUCUGCGUGUGUUGUGUCUUCUAGUUCAAUGGGAUCGAGAGCAAUGAACGAGCGUUAAACCCAAAGUGAAAUUAAAGACAGAAGGUGUGACCAGCCGACGACUUAAAGAGAUAUCCCUCGCACAUUUUAGUGGGACUGCAUGCUUUUUGAAGGUGAGUAACUUUUCAUAUUCAUAUUCCAUGUCGAUGUGUCAUUGUGAUUUAGCGAUUGGUGCGCUGACCAGAACAACACUUGGUUUGAGAUUGAAUUAUAUAAAGUUGAUGUGGAAAAACAUAGGCUACACAAGUUUACUGUGGAGAUAAAGCACAUGCAUACACGAUAUGCCUUGUUAACUUAUAGGCUAUAAACGACAGAGAUGGUAGGGUAUCCCAUAAGUGAAGCCAAAGUUUUCUUAGUUUUAUUUUUGCUGUUGCUAUCCCAAACUGUUUUAUAUUAACAGAAAGGAAUAUUUUAUAUUCCAAUAUAUUAGUAGGCCUAUCAAUAUGUUAACACGCACUGUACAGGCACAAAGGUCAAUUUCACAAACUUUUAAACUUUUAUUUUGAAAGACGUUUUUGAGUAACGCGUCCAAACUAAACACGUGCCUUCAAAGAAAAACCCCUCCAGUGUUGUUUCCUGAAGUGUUAUAGCGCGGUUCAUUAAAUUGUCUCUAGUCUGUGCAAGUCUGCAUCCUCACAAAUGUAAUUUGAAAAAUCCAUGGCACUUUGCCUUCGAAGUUGACAGCAUAACAGAAAGGUUGCGUCACUCAUGCACUUCAUUGAAUUCCCCUGACUCAAAACAAUAGCCCACUGCACAGCAAGCACAUGAACCACAUAGCAGGAAACAUCGGAUGAAUCAUUUUAUCAGCUGUUCUGACAAUCCCUCAAACAGUUUUAUUUUUCCUGUUUCCCCUUCCAUUAGGCCUACUUGUGCGUUUGCUCUGUGUGUGCUUACGAACUGGUGCAGUUUUACGAGUGUGAGGCGGUACGGAGUGGUCUUAAGCGGGUGACAUCAGUUCCUCCUCCACACGGGCCCCUUUGUGCGUUUUUCUGUAAUCUGCGGAAUUCGAACCAUUCUGUGUCAGGGCUGAGCCUUCCCUAUUAUUUCAUUACAUUUAUUUAGCAGACGCAUUUCUCGAAAAGAGACUUACAACAAUGAAUCCAGAAUCAUGCGAGUACAGACAAUUCAACAAAUAAACAAACUGCUCGAAGUGCUACGUUUUAGAAACAACGGAUGGAUAAGGGUGAUUUUUCCCCGGUCAAGAUGCAACCUUUCCUCUGCCCUCUGGUUCCCUAGAUACGAGGUGGGCUCCAGGGAGUGAUGGGGUCCAGUGAGUGGGAGUCCGUGUGCAAAGAAUGCGUUUGCAGAAAGCAGAGGGAGAGCUGUGAAAGUUCAAGGAGGCAAAGUUGGCCUCUUCCCCCGUAAUAAGAAGAAAAGAGGAAGAAAGAGAGGGACCGAGAGAGACAGCGAGCGAGAGAGAGAGGGACCGAGAGAGACAGAGAGGGAGAGAGAGAAAGAGAGACAAAGAGAGGGACCGAUAGAUACAGCGAGAGAGAGCGAGAGCAAGAACAAGAGCAAGAGAGAGAGAGAGAGAGAGAGAGAGAGAGAGAGAGAGAGAUAGCGAGCAGAGAAAUCAGGCUGAAAAGGGCCAAUUUUGGGGGGAAAACAAAUGCCAAAAGUGGGGUGGAGUGUGGAUCAGAGAGAGAGAGGGAAAGAGGAGUGUGCUAAGGAAGAGGGACACAAAGGGGUUUUGGCUGAAGCCAAAUGCAAACAGAAAGACGGAGGGAGAGAGAGAGAGAGAGAGCACUGGGGAAGAUAUCAGAACUGACUGGUAAACAGAGGAACCAUACUGCUUCAAAUAUUUCUCAACUUCCUUCAGCUCAAUGAGGUUGAGACGAUAAUCAUGGGAGGGAUGACUUGAGUGCAACGUGAUAAAUGCAUGAUAAUGUACCACACGCAACACCACUCCCUUCAACUUCUGAGCUUCUCCUCCUUCCAUAGUGUCAGUUGUUAGAGUUUGUAAAGUAGGACCAGGUCUUUAUCAUGGGAUACAACCAUGACUCUAGACGCUGACCAACCUGCAUUAUUUGAAUACUAAAUAAUACAUUAAUCUUAAAAUGCAUGAAACAUUGUUGCCACAUACUGUGGUUUUCUCAGUGUGCUUAUACAACUGCUUACCCUAUGUUGAGUCGCUGUUGAGUCUGUCAAUGUAAAACUGCUGUUCCUUGCAACCUUGACGAUGAAAAAACAAAUACACACACACACACACACACACACACACACACACACACACACACACACACACACACACACACACACACACACACACACACACACACACACACACACAUAUGCAUGCACACAGAAUUGGGCAGAAAAUGUAGGCUACACUGAUCUCCAGUGUAUCUCUUAACAACCUGCCUUGACAUAUAGAUAUGAACACCAAUUACUGUGUCAGGUCAUAGCUCAUAAACAGAGAGCAAUGUUUGUAAAGAAACCUCAUUGGUGACAGAACACGCCUAAGGACUUAAAGCCUAGGGCGAAAGAGGUUUCACGGCCUAAAGAUUAUCUUUAGCCCCAUCAGGGA